rnacentral:rRNA from 1 species
UACCAGCCCCCUGAGUGGUAGGAACGAUUAUUUGGCCUAAAGCGUCCGUAGCCGGCUUAAUGAGUCUCUCGUUAAAUCCAACGACUUAAUUGUUGGGCUGCGAAAGAUACUGUUAGGCUAGAGGACGGGAGAAGUCGACGGUAUUCUUAGGGUAGGGGUGAAAUCCUAUAAUCCUAAGAGGACCACCAGUGGCGAAGGCGGUCGACUAGAACGUGCCUGACGGUGAUGGACGAAAGCUAGGGGGAGCGAACCGGAUUAGAUACCCGGGUAGUCCUAGCUGUAAACGAUGCGGGCUAGGUGUUGGAGUAGCUACGGGCUACUUCAGUGCCGCAGAGAAGUUGUUAAGCUCGCCGCCUGGGAAGUACGAUCGCAAGGUUGAAACUUAAAGGAAUUGGCGGGGGAGCACCACAAGGGGUGAAGCCUGCGUUC